rnacentral:misc_RNA from 1 species
AAGUCGUAACAAGGUAACCGUAGGUGAACCUGCGGUUGGAUCAUUAACAAUAAAAUGGGAUCAGAUGCAGCAAAAGGUGUCAGACUAACUUUCUCUUUGGAAUUCAAACAUUUACCUAUGUGGAAUGCGAGGAAUCCAAAGAACAAACUGACUUUCUCUUUUACAAAUCUGGUCAAAGUUAAUGUAAACCCAUCUUUGUGCACUGUUUUGUCUCUGGUGGCCGUAAGGGGUCGUUGUGUGACCUCCCCUUCUAGUUCACUUGUUUUUAAACAAGUGGAUGAAGCCACCAACCGUAUUUUAAACCCAACCUUUUGUAAUUUAAAUUGCCUAACACUUACCUGUAUGAAAUAUACAUAACAACUUUUGGCAACGGAUCUCUUGGCUCUC